rnacentral:rRNA from 1 species
CACGUAGGGCGCAAGCGUUGUCCGGAAUUAUUGGGCGUAAAGCGCGUGUAGGCGGCUGGGUAGGUCCGCUGUGAAAACUCGAGGCUCAACCUCGAGACGUCGGCGGAAACCAUCCAGCUAGAGUCCGGAAGAGGAGAGUGGAAUUCCUGGUGUAGCGGUGAAAUGCGCAGAUAUCAGGAAGAACACCCGUGGCGAAAGCGGCUCUCUGGGACGGUACUGACGCUGAGACGCGAAAGCGUGGGGAGCGAACAGG